rnacentral:lncRNA from 1 species
UCCAUCCUCUCAUUCAUCCUUUCAGUCAUACCCUCGAGUUUGGAAUCCAUAAGCUUUCCAAGUUGCGAUUGCAAAGUCUCCAUUAUGAAUUUCAUGUUUGGGUCCAAAGCGGAUGGAUGCUUCCCAUGUGAGGCCUGUUGAUCUUUCUUUGACAUUGUGACACAGAAACCAAGAAAAGGUUAGCAACAAAAAAAAAACAAAAAUAAGGAACCCUCACCGCCUCACAACACUCGUGUAUAACACAUAAUAUGAAUCACUCAACACUCGUGUAUCACACAAUCACGGCUUUUGCCCUCUAAUAAUCUCACCACUCUUGCAUUUUUCCCCUCAAGUUCUCUCUCAAGAAAAACGAACUCCCUCAAUCUAC